AUGUCCUGAUUCUGAAAUCCUUGUUAUGGCGCUUGAUCUUAGCUCUCUCAAUUCUGUUCGAAACUUCGUUGCGGAGUUCGAGUCUCUCAAUUUGCCACUCAAUCUCCUCAUAAAUAAUGCCGGCAAGUUCGCACACGAGCAUGCAAUAUCGGAAGAUGGAAUAGAAAUGACCUUUGCCACUAAUUAUCUUGGUCAUUUUCUGUUAACGAAAUUGUUAUUGAAUAAGAUGAUCGAAACUGCAAAAGAAUCCGGCAUCCAGGGCAGAAUCGUUAACGUUUCAUCUACCAUUCACGGCUGGUUUUCCGGAGAUAUGAUCCGAUAUCUCGGAGAAAUUUCCCGAAAUAUAUGUCAUUACGAUGCCACACGUGCUUACUCUCUCUCGAAGCUGGCUAACGUUUUGCACACCAAGGAGCUUGCUCAGAGAUUGAAGCAAAUGGAAGCCAACGUGACUAUCAAUUGUGUACAUCCAGGAAUAGUGAGAACCAGACUCACUCGAGAACGAGAAGGCCUACUCACAGAUAUGGUGUUUUUCAUGGCAUCUAAGCUCUUGAAGACGAUUCCUCAGGCUGCUGCUACUACUUGUUACGUAGCAGCUCAUCCCAGAUUGUCGAAUGUUUCUGGAAAGUAUUUUGCGGAUUGUAAUGAAGCCUCUUCAACGUCGAAAUUGGGAUCCAGCUCAACAGAAGCUGCACGGUUGUGGUCCGCCUCUGAAAUCAUGGUUUCUAGAGACCCAAAAGCAGUUUUUGACCCACUUAAUGCCACUGACUAUGGGGCAUAAAGAAAAAUAAUAAAUAAACUUGGAGAAAUCUACAAAAGGAAAAAAAAAAAAAAAAAGAAUAUUUACA
rnacentral:misc_RNA from 1 species